AGCUAAGAAAUAAAUCACAAAGACAAAUAUUUAUUUUCAUGCUUCUCUUGCUCUUCCUUCUGGUAUUCGAGAAUAAAUCUGAGUGAGCGUGAUCCCAUUACUGUAUGUUGAUCACGGGCUUUUUAACUAACGCUAGACUGUUUAUGGUAGAGGUUGUCUUUAAACACAGACAUUAUCAAGUCUUCGCUCUUGUUCUGAGUGAGCGUGAUCCCAUUACUGUAUGUUGAUCACGGGCUUUUUAACUAACGCUAGACUGUUUAUGGUAGAGGUUGCCUUUAAACACAGACAUUAUCAAGUCUUCGCUCUUGUUCCAAAAAACAAUGGAAAUAGUCCUCGGGUGCAUAGGUUUCUGUAGUAAGGGUCCGCAGUAAAUGGCCAUGCUGUUGCGGCUACCCCGCCUAUUGUAGCGAAGCUAAUAAAAUAAAUAAAUAAAUAAAAUAAAAUAAAAUAAAAUAAAAAAAAGUCUAGACCCAGGAAGUACGACAGCUUGGUAAGGCCAGCCUUAUAUGGUAUGUCACGCGGAGUGUGUUUCUGGUCACGUAUUAUUGUAAUGUCACACCAACCUGCUGUUGUUUUCUGACAGGCAAAUGUAGACCCAGGACAUACGACAGUUUGGCAAGGGCAGCGUUAUAUGGCAAAUCUAGACCCAGGACAUAUGACAGUUUGGCAAGUCUAGACCCAGGACAUACGACAGUUUGGCAAGGGCAGCGUUAUAUGGCAAGUCUAGACCCAGGACAUAUGACAGUUUGGUUAGGGCAGCGUUAUAUGGCAAAUCUAGACCCAGGACAUACGACAGUUUAGCAAGGGCGGCGUUAUAUGGCAUGUUAUGUGGACUGUGUGACUUGGUCACGUGUGAUUGUAAUGUCACACCAACCUGCUGAUGUUUUCUGACAGGCAAAUGUAGACCCAGGACAUACGACAGUUUGGCAAGGGCAGCGUUAUAUGGUAUGUUAUGUGGACUGUGUGACUUGGUCACGUGUGAUUGUAAUGUCACACCAACCUGGUCUUGUUUUCUGAUAGGCAAAUCUAGACCCAGGACAUAUGACAGUUUGGUAAGGGCAGCGUUAUAUGGUAUGUUAUGUGGACUGUGUGACUUGGUCACGUGUGAUUGUAAUGUCACGCCAACCUGCUGUUGUUUUCUGACAGGAAAGUCUAGACCCAGAACAUACGACAGCUUGGUAAGGGCAGCGUUAUAUGGCAAAUCUAGACCCAGGACAUACGACAGUUUGGCAAGGGCAGCCUCCGUCGUCAUGUCAGACCCUGGAAUGACACCUGCAUCCAAAAGGGCCUGCAACACAGAAUUACAAAGCAAUGCUAACGAGCUCUGAU